CAGCAGCAGCCGCGGGAAUACGUAGGGUGCGAGCGUUAAUCGGAAUUACUGGGCGUAAAGCGUGCGCAGGCGGUUGUGUAAGACAGGUGUGAAAUCCCCGGGCUUAACCUGGGAACUGCGCUUGUGACUGCACAGCUAGAGUAUGGCAGAGGGGGGUAGAAUUCCACGUGUAGCAGUGAAAUGCGUAGAGAUGUGGGGGAACACCGAUGGCGAAGGCAGCCCCCUGGGCCAAUACUGACGCUCAUGCACGAAAGCGUGGGGAGCAAACAGGAUUAGAUACCCCUGUAGUCCCUGUCUCUUAUAC
rnacentral:rRNA from 1 species